rfam:Schistosoma curassoni strain Dakar, Senegal genome assembly, scaffold: SCTD_scaffold0005803
AGCUUUUCGAAUCCGUGCUGAGAUUUCGUCAGACACCAACCCAUUAGGGGUGAUCAGAGUUCCAAGACAAAUGAAGUU